rnacentral:rRNA from 1 species
AGUGAACGCUGGCGGUAGGCCUAACACAUGCAAGUCGAACGGCAGCACAGUAAGAGCUUGCUCUUACGGGUGGCGAGUGGCGGACGGGUGAGGAAUGCAUCGGAAUCUACUUUUUCGUGGGGGAUAACGUAGGGAAACUUACGCUAAUACCGCAUACGACCUACGGGUGAAAGCAGGGGAUCUUCGGACCUUGCGCGAUUGAAUGAGCCGAUGUCGGAUUAGCUAGUUGGCGGGGUAAAGGCCCACCAAGGCGACGAUCCGUAGCUGGUCUGAGAGGAUGAUCAGCCACACUGGAACUGAGACACGGUCCAGACUCCUACGGGAGGCAGCAGUGGGGAAUAUUGGACAAUGGGCGCAAGCCUGGUCCAGCCAUACCGCGUGGGUGAAGAAGGCCUUCGGGUUGUAAAGCCCUUUUGUUGGGAAAGAAAAGCAGCAGGUUAAUACCCCGCUGUUCUGACGGUACCCAAAGAAUAAGCACCGGCUAACUUCGUG